rnacentral:snRNA from 1 species
GAGCCCCGUCGUGCCCGGACC